GGGCCCGCACAAGCGGUGGAGCAUGUGGUUUAAUUCGAUGCAACGCGAAGAACCUUACCAGGGUUUGACAUCCUGCGAAUCUCUUGGAAACGAGAGAGUGCCUUCGGGAACGCAGUGACAGGUGGUGCAUGGCUGUCGUCAGCUCGUGUCGUGAGAUGUUGGGUUAAGUCCCGCAACGAGCGCAACCCACGUCUUUAGUUGCCAGCAUUUAGUUGGGCACUCUAUGGAAACUGCCCGUGAUAAGCGGGAGGAAGGUGUGGAUGACGUCAAGUCCUCAUGGCCCUUACGGGUUGGGCUACACACGUGCUACAAUGGUAGUGACAAUGGGUUAAUCCCAAAAAUGCUAUCUCA
rnacentral:rRNA from 1 species